rnacentral:rRNA from 1 species
AUGCCCGAAAGAGGUUUACACGAAUGCCCUAUACAACUUAGAGGUAAUGGGGAGGGUUCAGUGAUGAGGCUUGUUCGGAUGCUUGAGAUGAGGCUUGUUCGGAUGCUUGAGAUGAGGCUUGUUCCGAUGCUUGACAUGAGGCUUGUUCGGAUGCUUGAGAUGAGGCUUGUUCCGAUGCUUGACAUGAGGCUUGUUCAGAUGCUUGAGAUGAGCUUGUUCAGAUGCUUGACAUGA